rnacentral:rRNA from 1 species
AUUGAACGCUGGCGGCAGGCUUAACACAUGCAAGUCGAACGAGUGGCGGACGGGUGAGUAAUACUUGGGAAUGUGGCUUGUGGAGGGGGAUAACUACGGGAAACUGUAGCUAAUACCGCAUACUAUCGGAUGAGCCCAUGUGGGAUUAGGUAGUUGGUGGGGUAAAGGCUCACCAAGGCCACGAUCUCUAGCUGGUCUGAGAGGAGGACCAGCCACACUGGGACUGAGAAACGGCCCAGACUCCUACGGGAGGCAGCAGUGGGGAAUAUUGCGCAAUGGGGGCAACCUGAUGCAGCCAUGCCGCGUGUAUGAAGAAGGCCUUCGGGUUGUAAAGUACUUUCGGUAGCGAGGCGUUACCUACAGAAGAAGCACCGGCUAACUCCGUGCCAGCAGCCGCGGUAAUUC